UACAGAGGGUGCGAGCGUUAAUCGGAAUUACUGGGCGUAAAGGGCGCGUAGGUGGUUAUGUAAGUGAGAUGUGAAAUCCCUGGGCUUAACCUAGGAACUGCAUCUUAUACUGCGUAGCUGGAGUGCGGUAGAGGGUAGUGGAAUUUCCGGUGUAGCGGUGAAAUGCGUAGAUAUCGGAAGGAACACCAGUGGCGAAGGCGGCUACCUGGACUGACACUGACACUGAGGCGCGAAAGCGUGGGGAGCAAACAGG
rnacentral:rRNA from 1 species